GAUGAACGCUAGCGGCAGGCCUAACACAUGCAAGUCGAACGGUAACAGGGAAAAGCUUGCUUUUCCGCUGACGAGUGGCGCACGGGUGCGCAACGCGUAUAGAACCUACCUUUUACUGGAGAAUAGCCCAGAGAAAUUUGGAUUAAUGCUCCAUAGUAUUGUUUUGAGGCAUCUUAAGAUGAUUAAAGGUUACGGUAAAAGAUGGCUAUGCGUCCUAUUAGUUAGUUGGUAAGGUAACGGCUUACCAAGACGUCGAUAGGUAGGGGCCCUGAGAGGGGGAUCCCCCACACUGGUACUGAGACACGGACCAGACUCCUACGGGAGGCAGCAGUGAGGAAUAUUGGACAAUGGGCGGAAGCCUGAUCCAGCCAUGCCGCGUGCAGGAAGACAGCCCUAUGGGUUGUAAACUGCUUUUAUACAGGAAGAAUAAGUCCCUUUGCGAGGGAUGAUGACGGUACUGUAAGAAUAAGGACCGG
rnacentral:rRNA from 1 species